AUUGAACGCUGGCGGCAGGCCUAACACAUGCAAGUCGAACGGUAACAGGAAGAAGCUUGCUUCUUUGCUGACGAGUGGCGGACGGGUGGGUAAUGUCUGGGAAACUGCCUGAUGGAGGGGGAUAACUACUGGAAACGGUAGCUAAUACCGCAUAACGUCGCAAGGCCAAAGAGGGGGACCUUCGGGGCUUUUGCCUUCGGCUGUGCCCAGAUGGGAUUAGCUAGUAGGUAGGGUAACGGCUGACCUAGGCGACGAUCCCUAGCUGGUCUGAGAGGAUGAACAGCCACACUGGAACUGAGACACGGUCCAGACUCCUACGGGAGGCAGCAGUGGGGAAUAUUGCACAAUGGGCGCAAGCCUGAUGCAGCCAUGCCGCGUGUAUGAAGAAGGCCUUCGGGUUGUAAAGUACUUUCAGCGGGGAGGAAGGGAGGAAAGUUAAUACCUUUGCUCAUUGACGUUACCCGCAGAAGAAGCACCGGCUAACUCCGUG
rnacentral:rRNA from 1 species